CGGCGACCGGCGCACGGGUGAGUAACGCGUAUCCAACCUUCCGUACACUCAGGGAUAGCCUUUCGAAAGAAAGAUUAAUACCUGAUGGUAUGAUGAGAUUGCAUGAUAGCAUCAUUAAAGAUUUAUCGGUGUACGAUGGGGAUGCGUUCCAUUAGGUAGUAGGCGGGGUAACGGCCCACCUAGCCAACGAUGGAUAGGGGUUCUGAGAGGAAGGUCCCCCACAUUGGAACUGAGACACGGUCCAAACUCCUACGGGAGGCAGCAGUGAGGAAUAUUGGUCAAUGGACGAGAGUCUGAACCAGCCAAGUAGCGUGAAGGAUGAAGGUCCUACGGAUUGUAAACUUCUUUUAUAAGGGGAAUAAACCCUCCCACGUGUGGGAGCUUGUAUGUACCUUAUGAAUAAGCAUCGGCUAACUCCGUGCCAGCAGCCGCGGUAAUACGGAGGAUGCGAGCGUUAUCCGGAUUUAUUGGGUUUAAAGGGAGCGCAGACGGGUCGUUAAGUCAGCUGUGAAAGUUUGGGGCUCAACCUUAAAAUUGCAGUUGAUACUGGCGUCCUUGAGUGCGGUUGAGGUGUGCGGAAUUCGUGGUGUAGCGGUGAAAUGCUUAGAUAUCACGAAGAACUCCGAUUGCGAAGGCAGCACACUAAUCCGUAACUGACGUUCAUGCUCGAAAGUGUGGGUAUCAAACAGGAUUAGAUACCCUGGUAGUCCACACGGUAAACGAUGGAUACUCGCUGUUG
rnacentral:rRNA from 1 species